AGCGCAGCCUGGUAGCGCAUCUGCUUUGGGAGCAGAGGGUCGCAAGUUCGAAUCUUGCCGCCCCGACCA
rnacentral:tRNA from 1 species